rfam:Cylindrobasidium torrendii FP15055 ss-10 unplaced genomic scaffold CYLTOscaffold_498, whole genome shotgun sequence.
GGCACUUUGCCGGAGUGGUUAACGGGUUGCCCUGCUAAGGCAAUGCACUUUGUGCGCCAGAGUUCGAAUCUCUGAGGUGUCG